CGUCUAGGCGGCCUGGCAAGUCCCGCGUGAAAGCUCCUGGCUCAACUAGGAGAGGGCGUGGGAAACUGUGAGGCUAGAGACUCGGAGAGGGGUGUGGAAUUCCCGGUGGAGUGGUGAAAUGCGUUGAGAUCGGGAGGAACACCAGAGGCGAAGGCGGCACCCCUGGCCGUGGUCUGACGCUGAAGCGCGAAAGCGUGGGGAGCGAACG
rnacentral:rRNA from 1 species